UACGUAGGGGGCAAGCGUUGUCCGGAAUCAUUGGGCGUAAAGCGCGUGUAGGCGGCUCGACAAGUCUGGUGUGAAAACUUUCGGCUCAACCGGAAGCUGUCACUGGAUACUGUCGAGCUCGAGUCCGGAAGAGGAGUGUGGAAUUCCUGGUGUAGCGGUGGAAUGCGCAGAUAUCAGGAGGAACACCAAUGGCGAAGGCAGCACUCUGGUACGUGACUGACGCUGAGACGCGAAAGCGUGGGGAGCAAACAGG
rnacentral:rRNA from 1 species